rnacentral:sRNA from 1 species
GUUGAGUGGGAAUAGUAAGCUAACAUAGUAAGUAUGGAGAAUGCAGAUAAAUCAACGUUUUUCAACUAAAUGCUUGGUUAUCAUUAAAUAUGAUAUGCUUCCCUACCAUUUUCCUUACCAAAGUGAAAUCUUGCUAAGAUGAAGCUA